rnacentral:rRNA from 1 species
UAGGGGUUCUGAGACGGAAGGUCCCCCACAUUGGAACUGAGACACGGUCCAAACUCCUACGGAAGGCAGCAG